rnacentral:rRNA from 1 species
GAUGAACGCUAGCGGUGUGCCUAAUGCAUGCAAGUCGAACGGGAUCCUUUGGAUUCGUCUGAAGGUGAGAGUGGCGAACGGGUGAGUAACACGUAGGUGACCUGCCCCGGAGAGGGGGACAACCACUGGAAACGGUGGCUAAUACCCCAGAUGUUAUUGCGCUUAGAAAGCAAUUACUAAAGUUCCGGCGCUCCGGGAGGGGCCUGCGGCCCAUCAGCUUGUUGGUAAGGUAAUGGCUUACCAAGGCUAAGACGGGUAGGGGGCGUGAGAGCGUGACCCCCCANACUGGUACUGAGACACGGACCAGAUACCUGCGGGUAGCAGCAGCAAGGAAUAUUGCCCAAUGGACGAAAGUCUGAGGCAGCAACACCGCGUGGAGGAUGAAGGCCUCGGUUGUAACUCCUUUCUGGGGUAAGAGAAGGACGGUACCCAGGAAUAAGUCUCGGCUAACUACGUGCCAGCAGCCGCGGUAAAGUAU